UCGAUGACGUCACACAGGAGGAAAAACAAAACAAGAUGGCGUCUGGCGGAGAUUACGUUGUUUUGGUUAUUAUGGUUUCUAGGUCUUAAUUACAACGUACAUGUGCACGUGUGUGUCGUGUCAGUAAACGUCGUUAUUAAUUGUUUGUAUGCGGAUACAUUAGUCUGAGUGCACUUUGACGUGGUUAGCUUAGCUUGUUAGCUGCUAACAAAGAGAGGCGGAAGUGAUCGACACAUCAAAGCAGAGAUCCACUACGUCUGUGAAGAACAUCUUCACCCUGAGCAACAGAAGUGGAGCUUCAGGAUGCGGACGGAGGAAACACAGCCCUCCCACAUUAAGAUGGAAGAGGAAUACACACUGAUCCCCCAUUUUAAAAAGGAAGAGGAGGACCCACCGACACCCCUUUUUAAAGAGAAAUCAGUGGACCCACUGAGUCCUCACAUUAAAGAGGAAGAGGAGGAACACCGCAUCAGUCAAGAAUGGUUGGAGGAGUUCCAUGUGAUUGUGAAGAGUGAAGAUGAUGAGGUGAAAGUGAGGAGAGGGGAGGGGGGGAGCCUCCAAGCAGCAGCUCAACACAACACAUGACAACAGAAGCUGAUGGAGACCACUGUGGAGGAUCACAAGCAGACAAGCUCUUAGCUCCACUAUCAGAUAGUGAGGACACAACGUCACACUCUCCUGACACUGAUGAUGAAGACUCUAAAGAUGAUAAGACAUGUCACACUGACAACACUCACUUCACAUCUUCUCACUCUCACAAAACCUUUAAAUAUCCUAGUUAUUUGAAAAGACACAUAAGAACCCACACUGGAGAAAAAGCCUUUUCAUGCUCAAUCUGUGGUAAAGGUUUUACUCGAAGGCACUCUUUGAAAAGACACAUGAGAACACACACUGGAGAAAAACCUUUUUCCUGCUCAGAAUGUGGUAAAUAUUUUACUCUAAGGAUCAAUUUGAAAGUACACAUGAGAACACACACUGGAGAAAAACCUUUUUCCUGCUCAGAAUGUGGUAAAAGUUUCAUAACAACUCAUACCUUAAAAGAACACAUGGGAACACACAAUGGAGAAAGACCUUUUUCCUGUUCAAUCUGUGGUAAAUAUUUUACUUGAAGGCACUAUUUAAAAACACACAUGAGUACACACACUGGAGAAAAACCUUACACAUGUUCAGUAUGUUGUAAAAGUUUUAUACAAACUACGUAUUUGAAAAGACACAUGAGAAGACACCCAGGAGAGAAAGUGUUGAGUUGCAGUGUGUGUGGUGAAAGAUUGUCUUCUAAGUACCAGUGUAAGAAACACAAGUGUGCUGGUGAGAACAGCAGCAGCAAAUGAAACUGCAGGAUUUGAAAUAAACUGUCAAAACUUUAACUUUGACCUUCUAACAACACCAGCACAUAGAUGCUAACAUUAAUAGAUUUGAUAUAUCAGUUAAUUGCUAUUUUCAGUCAAGUACAUGUUUAAUAUACAACAUGGUGUACUUUUAUUUAAAAAUGAACACAACACUUUGACUGCAAAGGUGAGAAUAAACAGGACAAAUCCUGUUAGAAAUACUUGUGUAUAGAUAUAUUCAGAAAUAAUUUUUAAUUAUUAAUGAUGUUAUAGAUGAACUCCUUUAUAUGAUGUACAUAUUUGUUUUACAUGUGUUCAUACCUUUGCUUUUGAGUACACAUAAAUCCCUCUUAGUUCAUAUUUACUGAUUCGCAUCUGAAACAUCUUCUGGACCACUUCUGGAAGCAUAUUAUUAUUUACUUUAUACAUCAUUUCAGCAGUUGUCUUUUAUACAAGAUCAUUUACUUUUAAAAUGUGUGACUUUAUGAAUAAUUUGUUGGGUCUCAAUAAUCAUUUUUUUUUAUUAAUUUGUAUUACUCUCUUUUGUAAUAUGAAUAUUGUUUUAUAUGUAUGUUCCCUUUAUGCAAUAUGUAGAUUAGAGAAAAUGGCAACAAAUGUUGAAGGUUAUGAAGGAUAAUUUAGUUUUUGAUAAUGUAGAUUUCUUAUUAAAAAAACUACACAUGACCAUUGUUUUUUAAAGUAUUUUUCCCCCCUUUUUUAAAAUCUGUUAACCAUGAUCAAUUUUAGAAAGCAUGGGAAAGUUAGGAAUGUUAGGUAAAAGUCAAUAAUGUACAUCAUCACACAGAGCUCUAUUGUACAUCCAUCCAUUUUUUUCUACCACUUGUCCCUUUCAUUUCGUAUGUAUAGCCUUUAAUCACAAACUUGUACGCCAAAGGGUGUUGCAUUUUGGAGAAACUCCUUCUGUCAGAGUGCUGUUCAACACAGUAAAGAGGAACCCAAGGAUGUGCAGGACGCUGAGUAAAACACUUCUUUUUCUGCGGAAAUCUACUCACUAAAACAAUCCAAACAGGAGGUAACAAAAAGCGACAGUGCGAAAAAGAGAAGACAAAAUGUGCAUCGUGGAAAAAAGAACAAAAGCUACUUCUAUACACAAAUAAAGUCAACUUGGUUUGGAGUUACAAGACGUGCACACUACAAAACAACACCAAGAUGGAUGGCACCGGGAAUGGCCAAGGUGGCAAAAUACUCAAAGCAUGGAAUCAACUGGCGUGGAGCGGAUUCACCGAGUGCCAUCCAGCUGUCAAGGUGCUGCUUAAGCACCAGGGUCGAUUGGAAGCAGCUGUGCACAUCCCACAACUCCGCCCACAAGGGCAACACAGG